UCUACUCUGUGAACUUUGCUUCUUCUGGAACUCAAUUAAUGGAUCUUGUAUAGUAGCACUACUUGUAUUGUUCUCUGCUUGAUAUAUCGCUUUGCUUGUAUUUUCUCAUUUGUAAGUCACUUUGGAUAAAAGCGUCUGCUAAGUGAAUAAAUGUAAUUGUAAAUGUACUAUACAGUAGGUAAGUACGCGGUUUGGGACGCAGCCCACAGCUUCAAGCAGUCACAUAUAGCGUGACAAAUAAUAAACUGCACUUGAAGCGUUCAUAAAAUACCUUAAUCACAAUAUUAUCUUAUUCAGAAUCAGGUCAAUAAUUUGAUUAUUGUUGUCAAUCUAAACGUACUGAUUGUCUCUGUCAGACCACUCAUGCAAAAGUCAGCGACGUCACGUGUAGUGUACAGACAGAGCAAAAAUGAAGCGAGGAGGAAUGGGCUUUAAGGUGAAGCCUUUUUUCGUUUAAUCCCGUUCCCAUAUAUGGAGCACUAAAUUCUUUUCAUGCCAAUAAAAAAGAUCUAUUGGUUUUGAGCGAGGAAAUAAAAGUUCUCCACGUGUAAUCCUGCAGUUUAUUUUUCUAUUAGUGUUUAAAGUCGGCAUUAGUUAUCUCCUCGCGUAGUCAUAUUUUGAUCAUGAGUGAUGAGGUUUCGCGGACCAAUCGUCACAUGCUUCCCGCUUGACCAAUAAGGGAGCCGCUUUUUGGAACGACAUUUAAAAAUAAGUCCAAGAUGGCUGCGCCCUUGUCUGCAAUAUCGAGUAGCGAAGAAGAGGAAAUUACGGACAGACCUACUUCAAAACUCCGUAAAAAGGAUUAUAAACAAUGCUAUAUGCAACUCACGCCCAUAAAGAAAGGGGAACUAAGGAUUUUACACGCAUACGGUGGGAUAUAUUCAGAAACGGCGUCAAACGGUGGCUUGACUUGCAUGGUGAGAAUCGGAGAAUAGCAUAAACAUUGUCUAGAAACCGAGUUUGACAAUGUUCCCUAAGACGCUGGGUUUCACUUCACUUGCUACAGGCGUUUCAUUGACAAAAAGCGCAUGGAUGUGGCCGAGAAACGGGUCAGACAUCGUCCUGAAGCUCAAGAUGCUCACGAAGGCCAGUCUGUGUCAUGGGAUAGUAGUACUUCAACAAUUGAAUGUCCGACAAAGAAACUUAGCUUGUGCAGGUCCUGUGCCUCCUGCCUUGUGCAUAAUUUGUAAGAAAACGGACAAGUACUUUACUGUGGCAGGCCAACGCCAGAAAGACCAUCUUUCACAGGCAGAAACAUUGUCAGCAGGCCAGUUGCUGAAAGCUGCUGAGAUGUGAGGUGCGAUAUUACAAGUCCUGUUACAGACAGUACACCAGGUUCUUGACAAAGUCUACUGCAACAGUUACUGGGACCUCAGAAGAACAGCGAGUUAUAUUUCAUUAUCAAAUAAUAAUUAAUAAUUCCCUCACAUUAUUGCACAUUUCCAAAGUAAAGCAUUGACCAUCUACAUAGUAUAUAUUGUCGGUUUGUCUGUAAACACAAUCUUGACUGCACAACUCUUGGCACAGUAAUUCAAUGAUAAAAUGUGUGGUUCGUGAAGACGUAAGAAACUACAAAUAAUUUAUUACCAAUGUAUUUUCUUUCUGAAGAGUAAAUAAAAUAAAAAAAAAUCUUCUCAAAUUGCUUGGUCACCUGCUUUUGAUUUGCUACUAUUUGUACCAUAGAAGUACAAAAAUAGAAGCCAUUGUCAAAUAGUUAUGGCACAUAAAAUAAUAUCCUUUCUGUUUUUUAACGUUUUCUUUUCAGAAAUGAGCCAACCUUCGAUGCCAGCUACAAGAUCUUCUGUGAGAGGAUAAUCCGCCAUAUAUUAAUUGUAAACCAAGAGGUGCUGACAGUGACGCAGUUCAGAAGGAUCUUAAAUCUUGUGAAAAAACAUUAAGAUCUUGAUGCUUCAAACUAAAGGCAGGAUACAUUGAAGAGGAGGUUGAUCCGUGAUUUCCUAGCUGGUGUUUCACUCCCCCAACAAGCACAACAUCUGUGAGAUGGCUUUUGUUGAGACAUUGACAUAAGAUUUUGUUUUUUAAAAAUUCAUAAUUAUAUACAUUUAUGGAUCGUGACAAAAACCUGCAGGAUAUUUUGUGGAGAACUUUUCUGUUUAGUCCAUCAGAGCGGUGUUUAUGCAAAAAUGAAUUUUAAAAGUAGUGCCCAGGCGUGGGAAUGAAAAUCACUUUCUAGCCACUUUUUUUUUUUUAUUGUUCACCUUAUGGCCUAGAAAGCAAAAAGUUUAUUAAAGCCUGUGAAGUGUUUUUAGUGUACAGAUUUGCCUUUGGCGUGAAGGCAAGUUUGCAGUUCUGCAAGUGCUGACUGCUCUAACUUUACGGAUUAUGGUAGCAUCACAGACAAAGGCGGCUGGGACAGGCAGCAGGGUUCAUUCUCUCUCGGUCUGUCUGUCCAAAUGAAACCCUGAACUCUGCAGCCAUGAUCUUAUGUGAGUUUGUCACAUGAUGAGUGGGCCAUUCAGAUGUGGAUUCAUGUUCAGUGCUACUUCAAAUAAUUAUUACCACAAUUUAGAAAUAAUGUUUUAAUAUUCUGAUGUCCUACUGUACCAUACAGUGACUUAUUGUUUGCUCUUGGUUAGUGGUUGUAGUGAAAGACAUUCAUUAAUAUAAGCCUAAUAUCAAAUUACUUUCAUAAUAGAAAAUAAUUCAUUAUGAUUAUUAUAGCAGUAGUCAUAGUAGUAGUGGUCUAUUUUUUGGGUGUAAAAUGAUUAGCUGUGUUUGAUGUUAGUGUUAAAAUAUAAAAUUUCAGUCCUGAUUCAGGAGUUGUACAGCUGAGUGGUGCAGCUCUCCUACUCUGCACCCAGAUGUUGCCCCCUGACUAGCUAACAUGCUGUCUUUAUUCUUUUAUAUUCUUUGUAACACUGUUCUUCUGUUUGCCUAGUUUACAAAUAUGACUUGAUAUCUGUUCAGUGCUACUUCAAAUAAAAAUGUUUUAAAUAGCAUGUAUGUUUCUGUAUUAUGUU